GCCUGGAUAGCUCAGUUGGUUUGAACAUGGUGCUGAUAACGCCAAGUUUGCAGGUUCUAUCCCUCUAUGGGACA